AGUGCUGUGGUUUGGCUCAGUUUGGUUUGGUUUUCAGCCUGGGCGACAGAAUUCGUUGAAUUUAUGAAACUUUAGACGGCAAUCGACUGACGACGGGGCAAAACCGAGGGAUAAACGGACAAAUGUCACGGCAUCUCUCCAUUUCGAGAGUGUUUUAUACGGACAAGGGGGAGCAGCAAGGAGCGGGGGCGGGGGCGGGGGUAUAUGCCAUUACAAGACAAAUAUAAAAUAUGCCAAACAAGUUAAGAAAGUCGAAGAGGUAAACAAAGUUUGCACAAUGCAACAACCGCAAUGAAAAGUGGGAGUCAAGCCUGCACUUUGAAAGCUGUCAUCCGAAAUCAAGUCGUAGACAAGGUAAUAAUUGUUUAAAGAAAUCAAAUUGAGAGAAGUCGCAGUACAAAGUGAUAAAAAUUUCAUAUUUCCAAUGACGGAAUUCCUGGAAAAACACAUAGGCAAAAAGAGCGAAACAAAAUAAAAUAAAAAACGCAGAGAAGAAGACAAAUGUGAGGGUGAAGGGGAGCGGCAAUUGCAACGGGUGCAGUACACCGAUAAAAAUAAUAUGCAACAACUGCAGCUGCAGCAACAACAGCAAAACGUCAACGUCAGCGGGGCAGUGGACAGUGAAUAUGAAUACGAAUAUGAAUAUGAAUAUGAUACCGAGACCAAACCCCUCGGCCCCGCCCCCUUUUCGGUUGCACCGCCUACUCCUUAAGCAAACUGAAAUCUCAGUGUCAGCGAAUAUCAAACAAAUGCAACGGGAAUCAUCAACAAAUUUGUCUUCGCAAGAAUUUCAAAUCGCAGUUGGGGAAAAAAUGCGAAAGAAAAAAAAAUGAUGUGUAACGAACACUGGUUUUCAAUUUUUAUUAUAAGUGGAAAAAUUUACUUGGCAACAAUUUUGGUUAAUUAGAUUUAAAUAUUAAAGCUCCAAAAUGUUGCAACCUUAUUUAUUUAUUACACAUUCGUUUCCGAAAAUUCUACAUCAACAUCAUCAGUCUUUUCUUUUCGUUUUACCGCCGUGAUUCUGGUUAAUAAUAAUAAAAUAAAAGAGAUACAUGUCGUUGAACUUUUUGGCCAUGUCGCUACUUCUUGUAAAUAUGUAAUACACAUAAGCGAAACACAUUUUUGUCAAGUCAAGUGUUUUGCAGCGCACUGAUUUUCCCAUUGCCUACCAGAAUAUAGUAACAAAAUAUUAUUAUAUUGUAUUCGGCAUCAGUUUGUAAUGUGUGGCAUUCUCAGUUUUUAAAUUGCAUUUCCGUAUACCGAUUGCCACAAAAUUGUUGAACUCCCGUCAACUUGGUUGAUAACUUCGAGUGAAGUGUGAGGAAAAAAGUUGAGUGGUAUCCAGAGGCUUACAAAAGAAACUUGCGUGAACGCCUCAUCAUAAUCUUUUCCCGGCUUUUCCGCCCCUUUUGCAGCUCCUUCAGUUUUAUCUCACUUGCGGUUCGAGUUUUUCACCGUGCGUGUUUAUGUGUGUGUGUGUGUGUGUGUGGUGUGUGUGAUGUGUGUGUGCGUUUGAUUCCUUUUCUUCGCACACACUUAAGCACGCAUUUUAGGCGACAUCCUGGCCCCCUCUUAACCCAUACCCAUGCCCAUGCCCAUCGACGUCUCGUGUUUGGUUUGCCACUUGGGCAUUUACCCAAAUGCAAUCGAUAUGUGGAACACACACACACAGAAACCAGAGGGGUGAUGGCAAUGAGGCCUAUGUACAUCAGGAAAUGCAAUAGGUUCUUUUUUAAAAUGCACUUUUAAAAUGUAUGCUUAAAUAUAAUAUGAAAACCAAAAAUAGUAAUUAUAUAAAUGCACACCUCUUUUUAUGGCAAAUGGCUCAUAUAACUAAUACUACUGCAUUUUGCUCAACAUAUCUAUCUAUGUACAUAUCUUCUCCCAGAACAACCCAAGUAUAGCUAAAUUAAUAACCCGGCGUAACAAUAAAUAUUUUAGUUAAUAAAAUCAAUGCUUAUCGAAUAUUCUAUGCUCCGAAAUUGUCUGCGCAAUUUUUGUUGUGUACGAAAAGAGAGGGUUUGUUUUCGCGCUGGCUUCGUGAAAUAAUUAAUAAUAAUUUAUGACGCACAGCCUUGUGCCACUGCAAUUAGAAAAUGUCAAAGCGAUGGCAAAAAUAGUAAGAAAGGCGCAAAUGAUGGGGAUUGGGGAGUAGGUGGGGCUUUGAGUCUCGACCCUCUACAAAAUUAUGCAUAAACGCAUUUUAGUGCGCCUACAAGUAGGCAAUGCCAAAGCAGCCGAGUCGUCGAGCGAGUCGGCAAAACUACAAAGGACCUCAAAGCCCAAGACGAUGACGUCAAAGGGGCAGGCGGGGGCAUGAUGGUGCGAGAGGGAUGGGGGGGGGACGGGUCUGGGACACUUUUGUUGCACAUUGCGUUCCCUCUGCCAACUGAAGUGCACUUCUGACGCACUUCUCCUUUUGCGACCCGCAGGGAAGUUCAUUCUAACAAAUAAAAAAAAAAAACGAGAGAAAAUAUAAGAGUUUGCUGAAACAAAA